ensembl:lncRNA
UAUUUAUUUACAUAAAUGUUGUUGUGUACACUAUUUAAAUAUUAAGUAAUAUUAUUAUAUGUUGAAAUUCAUUUAAUAUUACUUCAUUCAUUCGUUAAUUUGUAACUAAUUAACUCAUUUAUUCAUUCAUUGGCAAGGACAAAUAACCUUUCUACCAUUUUCUCAGUUUGACAAUUUCAAGCGUGUCUCAAGUGGAGGAAGAGCUAAAAGGCCCCCUGGUGGAGAACAUUAGCAUCACUUUCUCCUGUCUGAUGUUCUGGCAAGACAACGUGUUGGGAGACAUGGAUGUUGAUCUAUAAAAAGAGUUUCUGCAUGACUUGAAAGGCUUGAAAGUUUUGGUUAAUGAUAAAGACAUGCUGGACCAACACAAAAGCUUGGUAUGUGCACAGCUUAGAGGAACAUUUAACGUCUUUAGUGAGAUGGAGGCCAAUUUUAAGGUCAGAAGCAUGAAUGUUUUCAUAUACUUUUUAAAAUAA